AGGGAUUAUUUGUUGCACUCUGCGUGCGCAUUUGUUAUGCAACCGGCUUACAACAGGAGUAGCUAACAUCCUUAUCUUGAAAUUGCCAUAUUAAAGUUGUUUUAACUUUCAUAAUGUCGGAUGCCUUGCUUCGAUGGUGUGUGGACCAGUUGCACCACAACUUUGGCUUGGAGGCCAGUGAAGACAUAGUCCAGUAUAUUCUGUCCAUCGACAAUGCGGACGAGAUAGCGGAGUAUGUUGGGGACCUCCUUCAGGGCACCGAUGGAAGGAAGAAGCAGUUUAUAGAUGAACUCCUGGACAGGUGGCAGCGGUCUCAGACACUGACUCCUGACAGCACUGGCCUGUUCCCCAUGAACUCUCUGUCAGGAUCAGAUGCUCAAGACAUAUCCAAGGACACCCAGAAGAAAUCCAAGCGCAAGGGUAGGAACAAGCAAGAGGUGAUGGCUGUUAGCCAAGCAGAGCCUGAGCCUGAGGUGGUGAAAACUCCCAUUGACCUAAUGAAGGCCCAGGAGAGCGGCAGCACAUCGUCACAGAAGAAGAAGAAGAAGAACACGUUUGUGAGCCUCUACAAUAAAGAGGGCCAGGACAAGCUGGCUAUCCUGCUGCCCGGGCGCCAUUCCUGCGAAUGUCUGGCCCAGAAGCACAACCUCAUCAACAACUGCAUGAGCUGUGGACGCAUUGUGUGUGAGCAGGAGGGAUCAGGGCCCUGCAUCUUCUGCGGCAGCCUGGUAUGCACCAAAGAGGAGCAAGAGAUUCUGCAACGAGACUCCAACAAAAGUCAGAAACUGCGCAAGAAACUUAUGGAGGGGGCAUCGGAGAGGGGCUAUCUUCCACACCAAGAGGCAAAGAUGAAGGCAGGGUUAGAAAAGGCCCUUCAACAUAAAGACAAACUGCUGGAAUACGAUAAGAACAGUACGCGACGAACGCAGGUCCUGGAUGACGAGUCAGACUACUUUGCCACUGACUCCAACCAGUGGUUGUCGCCUAGCGAGCGCGAGCACCUGAGGAAGAAGGAGGAGGAGCUACGGGAGCUUCGCCACGCCUCCAGGAAGGACAGGAAGAUCACGCUGGACUUCACAGGCAGACAGGUGCUUGACGAGGGAGAGAAUAACAGUCAUUACUACAACAAGUUUGACGAGACUGUCAAGGCCCUCAACACAGGCACCAAGGGGAAAGCUCCCCAACGCCCUGAGGGACCCGCGGGACGGCAGCACCUGAGAGAGCUGGUCAACCCCAACAUCGUACAGGCUGCACCAAAGUGGGUGGACGUGGGUAGUGGCCCUCGGAGAUCUCAGGAUAAAGGGGUUGUUGGUACAGAGGGGGACGGCGCUGUAGGCCCAGAACGCUCCAGACUCCGGCUGCAGGACAGAGAGCUGCAGGAGAUGGCAGAUGGGGGCUGGUGCCUCAGCAUGCACCAACCAUGGGCCUCGCUACUGGUCAAAGGAAUAAAGAGGGUGGAGGGGAGGAGCUGGUACACAUCCCACCGCGGGAUCCUGUGGAUAGCAGCUGCAGCCAAGAGGCCCACCCCUGAGGAGGUCACUCAGGUGGAGAACAUGUUCCUUCAGAUCUACAAGAGAGAUCCUAAGUUUCCUAAAGACUACCCCACCAGCUGCCUGCUGGGCUGUGUCAACAUGACCGACUGUCUGUCUCAGGAGCAAUACAAGGAGCAGUUUCCUCAGACAUGCGAGGAGUCUGGCUCUCCGUUCGUCUUCAUCUGCACCAAUCCUCAGGAGCUGCUGGUGAAAUUCCCCAUGAAAGGGAAACAUAAGAUCUUCCAAGAGAAGACUAUGCAAACAGUGAGCUGUGUAUGCCCUGUGUGGUUGAGCAGUGAUCCAGCAGUGACUCCAAACAGACCAUGACUCCAGUCCUCAUUAUAACAGUAGGACGGACCACCUGAGGACCGAACAUAAAUAAUGCAGAGAGAACCAGAGUUCUGCCGCCACCACCUCGCUGACAAACCCUUCCCCCUCGACCACAUGGUUGAACCCCUAGCCCUGGAGGGCAUGUCAAGCUGGAGAGUCAAUAUCAUAGGGGUGCGAAGAUGGGACUGGUUCCGUCUGCGGCCGUGUGACGUUGGCGAGAGAGAGCGAGAAAGCAAAGAGAGAGUGUGGACCAGCUGGAGGAGAGGCGGAGUUUGACGAGAACAUCCAGAGAGGGUCAUAUUCUGACUACUGUGUUUUAUCAGGAGUUCCAGCAAAAAAUAAAUAUGGACACACUGGCUAUACAUGGCAUCCUCUCAAGGGAUUUACAGUUUAAGGACGAUGACUAAGCAGACAUUCACCACACAGGAAAGUUAUUACCAAGUUCUCUACAUUCUAUACUGUGUACUCUUGAACAGUUGUAUUUUCUGCAAUAAACAAUGUUGAAAUUAAA